UACGUAGGGGGCAAGCGUUGUCCGGACUUAUUGGGCGUAAAGAGCUCGUAGGUGGUUUGGUAAGUCGGAUGUGAAAUCUCCAGGCUCAACCUGGAGGGGUCAUUCGAUACUGCCAUGACUAGAGGUCGGUAGGGGAGUGUGGAAUUCCUGGUGGAGCGGUGAAAUGCGCAGAUAUCAGGAGGAACACCCGUAGCGAAGGCGGCACUCUGGGCCGAUUCUGACACUGAGGAGCGAAAGCGUGGGGAGCGAACAGG
rnacentral:rRNA from 1 species